AAGGAUAUGUUUACUUCCCCUUCUGCCAUGAUUGUAAGUUUCCUGAGGCUUCCCCAGCCAUUCGGAACUGGCUGCAGUGGCACCUGCUAUAUGAGGCUGAGAGGAGAGGCUGCUCAGACGCAGAGAGCCCAGUUGAAAUCUACCCACACUUGCUAUUAAACCACAAGCUGUCCACACAAAGAACAAAAACCAACCAAGAGCUGUGGUUUUUGCAACCACAAAGGGCCCAGAGUUUCCCUUGUGAAUGAGCUCAGCAUCCUCACGUUUCCAAGAGGAAUGAACACUGCAAUUCCUCGGACUACGGUGGCUCGCUUCCCAGCACACCCUUGCUGUGACCUGCACCCCUGCAUUGUCCUCAAAGACACACUAAGAAAACACAUUUCAGAAGGAAGGACCUAACAGAGCCCAGGAUCCAGUUCUGCGUUUGGUGUGGCCCCAAAGACACUGUGUGCAGAGUCAGAAAUAUGGUUCCCAGUUGGACUCCAUGGGAUACUGUUUCAAAAGAGCUAUCAUUCUUGUCUGUUUACCACAUAUCUUGUUGUAAUACGCUCUUCUUUUCCAGAAUUUUUUAUUUUCCCUGGCAUUUUGUGUUUUGGUAAUUGCCUACAAGAAUAGUUCUAUAACAUAAAUCAACAAUGAAAACCAAAUUACCCCUGCCCACAUCCUUUCAUUCCUUUUUCAUCUCUAAUGAUAUUUUCUGUAUGAUGACUAACCCAGACUGACGUAAUUUAUCAAUUGAUCUUGACGAUGUACAUUAGAAAAUGCGUUCUGCAGGCCCCAGCAGGCCAUCUUCCAUGUGUGCCACGUAGCUUUAGAAAACCUAUUAGUGCAACAGAAAUAUCUAAAGCCCAGCCUUUUUGCUAAGAAUAUUAGAACCGGUGCUAAUUACUUUAUUAAUCAUAAAGUGAAACAGCAGUACUAUGUCACCACAGCUGUAAAAUAAGUGGUUUUAUGGCAAAAGUAGUUAAAGAGAAAGGACAGAUUGGAUUUAUAAUACUCAGCUGGUUAAAAAAAAGAAAUUAUGCAUACCAGCAAUUUUCUUUCUUUGGUUAAAUGUUCAUUAAAUGUGUACCACUAAAAACCAUUUGUAACUAAUUCCCUAGUGGGUCCAUGCCCUAAAAGAAUUUAUUUUAAAAUACAAAUUAAGGCUUAAAUUUGCCUUUUUAUUAAAAAUAGGUAUAAUGAGUCAACAUAUCUCCUGAGAGAAAGGAGAGUUGCAGACAUGCUGAUGAGAGGAAUCUUGUCGCCAAAACCUGGAGGCCAUGCUGAUGUUGGGGACUUAGGCUAUGCUGCAGGUGCCUGUCACCAUUAAGGGCGGUAGAAUUCAGAGGCUUUGGUCCAGGUUAAAGCCCAGAGGCGGCCACUGUCUGAAGACAGGGACACCACAGUGACCAUCAUUGAGGGCGAUGUUUACACUUCCAUUGUUAGGUUAGAUAUUUUGUUUUCUUUAAAGUCAGUAUUGUCUCUGAGUAAAUAAAAAUAAUCUCCAGUUUCUGC
rnacentral:lncRNA from 1 species